rnacentral:rRNA from 1 species
UACGUAGGGGGCAAGCGUUGUCCGGAAUUAUUGGGCGUAAAGAGCUCGUAGGCGGUCUGUUGCGUCCGCUGUGAAAACUCGGGGCUUAACCCCGAGCCUGCAGUGGAUACGGGCAGACUAGAGGUAGGUAGGGGAGAAUGGAAUUCCCGGUGUAGCGGUGAAAUGCGCAGAUAUCGGGAGGAACACCGGUGGCGAAGGCGGAUCUCUGGGCCUUACCUGACGCUGAGGCGCGAAAGCUAGGGGAGCAAACAGG